UGUUUGUUAGCUUCAUAAAUCCUAAACUACAAAAAAUAUAUGUAGAAACAAUCAUGGACAGUCAGGUUAGAUCAGCUAAAUAAGAAUAAGUCCUGCAUUCCAUCAUGGCCUGAUGAGGUUUAAUGUGUUUCUUUCUUUGUCGAGGGAGGCAGGUGUUUGGUGAGAGGCAGCUUUUUAAUUUGUUUCUAUUUUGAGUUCUUUGGCCUAAUGCAGGCCCAUUUGACCAAUCAUCUUUUCCAAGAUAUUUCAGCUUUCUCCUCUUUGUCAGUAGGUAUCCAAGGAUUCCUGACCUUCAAGUGACCAUCUUUCCUUGACUUUGAAUUAGAUUUCCCUAGGCCGAGGGUCCAUACCAGUAUUUUGUACAACCAAAUAGGUUUUGCCCCAGUGAGGGCCACCUAGUGUGUUGACUGAAAACAAACAUGCAUCGUACAUACAUGAGGCUGAGAGAUUAUACAUUUUUUCAAGACAUUUUUCGUACUAUAACAGGGAUUCUCUUCUGUUUUAAUCAUCUUGUUUGAAAAUUAUUAAAAAGAUGGAAGCUUAGAUCUACUCACGAUCAUUUUGGUGGUCCUUAUGGUGAGCUGCUACUUGACAGUGGAAUCCACGUGGAAUUCAAAGGCCACUGAUGGUACAGUGGUUGAACACACAUCUGCAAGGAGAAGGCUGGUGACUCCCAGGAAGAACAACCAAGCAAGUGACUCCUGUCAAGAUCACUGCCAUGAAAACUCAAUGGAGACAAAGUUCUAUGCGGGCACAAGAGGCUGCUACAGGUCAAAUUUGAUUUGGUGCAACCCCCCAAGAGUAACAUGGCGUCUAUUGGAGUUUCUACUGGUGCAAAUGGUUACAAUGCAGCUAGACGAUUGAAAUUGGGUUCCUAGCAGAAGGCGCCUUGGGUGAUGGAUCUGUCCAGCUGCUUCCAAAAUAUCAUAACCAUAAAAGCUCUAUGGUUUGUCCUGGGUUGGAAUUGUUUAGACAGCAACUAACAACAGGACAUGACCUUAUUAGCAGACAAACACCAGUGUAUCCUUGCUGGAAGUUAGUUUAAAGAUUCUACUUUCUCCCGUUUCUCUACUAUACCCUAAAGUCUUUCAGUUUAAUCAUAAAUAUCUAUAUGUCAACACUUUAAUGUUCAUUAUCAUGUCAGUGCCCUGUUAUGGAUAAAAGAGCAACACCAUAUUAUAAUAGAUUUAUAGUUAUAUCUGGAAUAAAAAUCUAAUAUGAGCUAAUUUUUCUUAACAAUAUUAAACCUUUAUUAAAUUUGCUAUUCAUUUAGAUACUUAUUUACAUAUUACAUAUGGGUCUGUGUUUGAAAUUUGUUAGUUUCUCUCUGUUGUCCAUCUGUUU